AGUCAUAUAAAAUUAAUUCAUUAAUAAAUGUAACUUAAGCGUAGCUUAGGUACGUUGGCUUAGUUACCCCAACGUAGUGUUAAGCUAACGGCCGUACGGGUAUCUUUUUUUCUUAUUGUUUCUUAUUGUAUCGUCGUUUAAGUCCUUUGUUGUAUCCGGCCGUAGGCCGGAUACAAAACAUAGCUUAACCGUAUAACUAGGUUACGUAUUUUCCAUAAAAAACGUGCAGUAGCUAAUAAUUAUUACGAUAGCGAAGCCAUUUAAAAGUAACGCAAGGCCCUUGGUUAAAUUUACCUUAAAAGUCGCUAGUUUCUUGAAGGAGAAUCUAACGAACUACUUCAGCGAGCUAGCGCUGUGAAUAAGUUCUUUUCCUUAAUGUUAGCUUAAGUUUGGCUUCCAUCCCCUUUAGUGUUCUUCUUCUUCCCCUAAAGGGGAACUUUAGUUCCCCUUUAGGGGAUGAACUAAAGGGGAAGAAGGUGGGAUGAACUAAAGGGGAAGACUUUGGGGUUCUUCCCCUAAAGGGGAACUUUAGUGUUCUUCUUCUUCUUCGUCUUCUUUAGUUCCCCUAAAGGGGAUGAACCAAAGUCUCUUCUUCUUCCCCUUUAGGGGACUCCGUCUUCUUUAGUUCCCCUAAAGGGGAUGAAGAAGUGCUCCCCUUCUUCCCCUUUAGUUCAUCCCCUUUAGUUCAUCCCCCUUUAGGGGAACUAAAGGGGAUGAACUANAGGGGUGAAAACGAAGGGGAAGAAGAAGGGGUUCCCCUAAAGGGGAAGAACACACCCCAAAGUCUCUUCUUCUUCCCCUAAAGGGGAAGAAGGGGUUCCCCUUUAGGGGAAGAACACACCCCAAAGUCUCUUCUUCUUCCCCUAAAGGGGACUCCGUCUUCUUUAGUUCCCCUAAAGGGGAUGAAGAAGUGCUCCCCUUCUUCCCCUUUAGGGGAAGAAGUGCUCCCCUUCUUCCCCUAAAGGGGACUCCGUCCCCUUUAGUUCCCCUAAAGGGGUGAAAACGAAGGGGAAGAAGAAGGGGUUCCCCUAAAGGGGAAGAACACACCCAAAGUCUCUUCUUCGUUUUCUUCGUCUUCUUUAGUUCCCCUAAAGGGGAUGAACCAAAGUCUCUUCUUCUUCAUCCCCUUUAGGGGAACUAAAGGGGACUCCGUCUUCUUUAGUUCCCCUAAAGGGGAUGAAGAAGUGCUCCCCUUCUUCCCCUUUAGUUCAUCCCCUUUAGUUCAUCCCCUUNNNNNNNNNNNNNNNNNNNNNNNNNNNNNNNNNNNNNNNNNNNNNNNNNNGAACUAAAGGGGAAGAAGUCCCCUUUAGGGGAAGAAGGGGUUCUUCCCCUAAAGGGGAACUAAAGGGGAAGAAGUCCCCUUUAGGGGAAGAAGGGGUUCUUCCCCUAAAGGGGAAC
rnacentral:lncRNA from 1 species